rnacentral:tRNA from 1 species
GAGCGUAUAGCUCAGUGGUGGAGCAUGUGCCUGGCAUGCACGAGGUUCUGGGUUCAAUACCCAGUACCUCCA